GGAGACACUUCUGGAGAGUUCACGAAGGUGACGCCGAAGGAUUCAUAAUCUCAGGCAUCAGGACAGAAGCGUAGCA
rnacentral:ncRNA from 2 species